GACGAACGCUGGCGGCGUGCCUAAUACAUGCAAGUUGAGCGCUGAAGGUUGGUACUUGUACCAACUGGAUGAGCAGCGAACGGGUGAGUAACGCGUGGGGAAUCUGCCUUUGAGCGGGGGACAACAUUUGGAAACGAAUGCUAAUACCGCAUAAAAACUUUAAACACAAGUUUUAAGUUUGAAAGAUGCAAUUGCAUCACUCAAAGAUGAUCCCGCGUUGUAUUAGCUAGUUGGUGAGGUAAAGGCUCACCAAGGCGAUGAUACAUAGCCGACCUGAGAGGGUGAUCGGCCACAUUGGGACUGAGACACGGCCCAAACUCCUACGGGAGGCAGCAGGAGGGAAUCUUCGGCAAUGGACGAAAGUCUGAACGAGCAACGCCGCGGGAGUGAAGAAGGGUGUCGGAUCGGAAAACUCGGUUGGUAGAGAAGAAAGUUGGUGAGAGUGGAAAGCUCAUAAAGUGACGGUAACUACCCAGAAAGGGACGGCUAACUACGUG
rnacentral:rRNA from 1 species